AAAAGUAUAAGCAUAAUCAAUCAUGGCAAAAGUUUCAAUCUCUUGUUGUUUCCUCCUUAUAAUCACAUAUGUAUCUAUAGUCAACUUAGCAAUUGCCAGAGAUCACCCGUUAGUGCAUGAAUUGCUUGGUGGUGAAACAUGCAAGGAUGCGCUUACGACUGUAAGAUGCUUGGUGGACACAGAUUGUGAUGACAGAUGCCAUGAGUUACAUGAAGAUUCAUUAGUUGCUGCAUCUUGCGUAGAAGAUCCAAUGUUGCCUGAUGCUAUUUGUGUUUGUGGAUACCUUUG
rnacentral:lncRNA from 1 species